UCUCCGUAGGUGAACCUGCGGAGGGAUCAUUACCGAGUUCAUGCCCCUAGGGGUAGAUCUCCCACCCUGUGUUGUCAUAACUCUUGUUGCUUUGGCGGGCCGCCUCUGGCCACCGGCUCCGGCUGGUGCGCGCCCGCCGAACACCAAAACUCUUGAAUUCAGUGUCGUCUGAGUACUAUAUAAUAGUUAAAACUUUCAACAACGGAUCUCUUGGUUCUGGCAUCGAUGAAGAACGCAGC
rnacentral:misc_RNA from 1 species